rnacentral:misc_RNA from 1 species
GUACAGAGAAGCAGAGCUCAUCCACGGCCGGUGGGCGAUGGCCGCCGUCGUCGGCAUCUUCGUUGGCCAGGCAUGGAGCGGCAUCCCCUGGUUUGAAGCCGGAGCUGACCCGGGCGCCAUCGCCCCCUUCUCCUUCGGCUCCCUCCUCGGCACACAACUAAUCCUCAUGGGCUGGGUGGAGAGCAAGAGGUGGGUGGACUUCUUCAACCCCGAGUCCCAGUCUGUGGAAUGGGCCACUCCCUGGUCUCGCACUGCUGAAAACUUCGCUAAUGCCACCGGUGAGCAGGGAUAUCCGGGAGGCAAGUUCUUCGACCCAUUAGGGUUUGCGGGGACGUUGCAGAACGGGGUUUAUGUGCCGGACAACGAGAAGCUCGAGAGGCUGAAGUUGGCCGAGAUCAAACAUGCUCGCUUGGCUAUGGUUGCUAUGCUUAUCUUUUACUUUGAGGCUGGACAGGGGAAGACACCCCUUGGUGCCCUAGGUUUGUAAUUUAUGGGUCUCUGAAGAGCUUGUAAACAUUUUAGAUUUAAUGACGAUGGUAAUCUUUGUU